rnacentral:rRNA from 1 species
UACGGAGGGUGCAAGCGUUGUCCGGAAUUAUUGGGGGUAAAGCGCACGUAGGCGGUUCUUUAAGUCUCAUGGUGAAAGGCUGGGGCUCAACCCCAAGCAAGCCGGGGAUACUGGAGGACUGGAGACAGGCAGAGGCCAGCGGAAUUCCGGGUGUAGCGGUGGAAUGCGUAGAGAUCCGGAAGAACACCGGAGGCGAAGGCGGCUGGCUGGGCCUGAUCUGACGCUGAGGUGCGAAAGCGUGGGGAGCGAACAGG